GACGAACGCUGGCGGCGUGCCUAAUACAUGCAAGUAGAACGCUGAAGGAGGAGCUUGCUUCUCCGGAUGAGUUGCGAACGGGUGAGUAACGCGUAGGUAACCUGCCUGGUAGCGGGGGAUAACUAUUGGAAACGAUAGCUAAUACCGCAUAAGAGUAGAUGUUGCAUGACAUUUGCUUAAAAGGUGCAAUUGCAUCACUACCAGAUGGACCUGCGUUGUAUUAGCUAGUUGGUGGGGUAACGGCUCACCAAGGCGACGAUACAUAGCCGACCUGAGAGGGUGAUCGGCCACACUGGGACUGAGACACGGCCCAGACUCCUACGGGAGGCAGCAGUAGGGAAUCUUCGGCAAUGGACGGAAGUCUGACCGAGCAACGCCGCGUGAGUGAAGAAGGUUUUCGGAUCGUAAAGCUCUGUUGUAAGAGAAGAACGAGUGUGAGAGUGGAAAGUUCACACUGUGACGGUAUCUUACCAGAAAGGGACGGCUAACUACGUGCCAGCAGCCGCGGUAAUACGUAGGUCCCGAGCGUUGUCCGGAUUUAUUGGGCGUAAAGCGAGCGCAGGCGGUUAGAUAAGUCUGAAGUUAAAGGCUGUGGCUUAACCAUAGUACGCUUUGGAAACUGUUUAACUUGAGUGCAAGAGGGGAGAGUGGAAUUCCAUGUGUAGCGGUGAAAUGCGUAGAUAUAUGGAGGAACACCGGUGGCGAAAAGCGGCUCUCUGGCUUGUAACUGACGCUGAGGCUCGAAAGCGUGGGGGAGCAAACAGGAUUAAUACCCUGGGUAGUUCCAAGGGCGAAUUCCACAGUUGGAUAUCAAGCUUAUCGAUACCGUCGACCUCGGGGGGGGAAACAAGGAACCAGCUUUUGUUCCUUUAGUGAGGGGUUAAUUA
rnacentral:rRNA from 1 species